rnacentral:misc_RNA from 1 species
GUUGGUUAGAGAAAUCAUCACUUGAGUUAACAUUUUCUUACAUGCCUGAUGUGGUGAUGCCACAAACUUGUGGAAUUUAUCUUCUUGUCAGUCUAUUUACAUGGUGCAAUUUGACGACUUCCCUCCAUUCGAUGCUGACCAGCUUCCUCGUUUUACAUACCAUGUAAGUUGAAUGCAGAUGUUAAAUUGGUCUUGAGAAUGCCUUUCUUUUGUAAUUCCAAAAUUUUGGGAAGUAAUCAAUGGUCUCUAGUGGAAAUAUAACGGUGACACACGAGUAUUAUUCUGCGGCAGUGUACAUAUAUAAGCUGGUCAAGGCACUUUGUGUAAGAAAAGUGCUUAGAAAAUUGUCCCUGUUUUGUAUGUUGAGGGUAAUGAUCUUGUGAGUAUUUUGUCUUUGCAUUCCUUUUAUGUCCUUUUGUUUUCGUGUGAGAUUGUAUGAGCACAUUUCAUGAGCAUCAAUUUAAAACGAAUGGAUGUUUGUUUAGCUGCAAAAAAAA